GGACUACCCGGGUUUCUAAUCCCGUUCGCUCCCCUAGCUUUCGCGUUUCAGCGUCAGGUGCAGUCCAGGUGGCCGCUUUCGCCACUGGUGUUCCUCCGGAUCUCUACGCAUUUCACCACUACACCCGGAAUUCCACCACCCUCUACUGCCCUCCAGUUCAGCAGUAUCGGACAACCUCUCCAGGUUGAGCCCAGAGAUUUCAUGCCCGACUUGCCAAACCGCCUGAACGCGCUUUACGCCCAGUAAAUCCGGAUAACGCUCGGAACCUACGUUUUACCGCGGCGGCUGGCAC
rnacentral:rRNA from 1 species